GCAGAAUCUGUAGACGCCGAAACGGCCCAGCCGCCGACAACGUCUUUCGGCAUGUUUAUCUUUUCAUCGCUUACUUUACGCUUUUAAUUUAGUGGCGGAAAAGUUGGAUCGUGGGAGCUUUUUCUGCCGCUGUUGACGCCGACUGCGCAAGAUUCGAGACCAUACUAUUAUCUUUUGCGGUGAAUAAAGACGGCGGUAUCGGGAUUUCUUGAAAUGAAGCCCGGAGACAGCCAGCUGGUCGAAGCUGUUCGUAAGCAGGAGGCACUUUGGAAUGUGCGGCAGGCAGCAUAUCACCAGCGCAAGCACAAGCUGCGGCUAGGCUAUGGGCGGAGGUGGCGGCAGAGACCGGACGAAAUGUUGCUGAUGUAAAGUCAAGAUGGAAGUCCAUCCGGGACUAUUUUAUGAAGUGUCGGCAGGCCCCGCCGAGCGGCUCUGCUGCCAGCUCGACCACCGACGGCGCCACGCAGAGGGAGCUGAGUUUCCUCAAUGAUUCUGUCAAGCCAAAGCCGAGAACCCUGACAUAGAAGAAGAACACUCUGGUGAUCCAUGGCUCGUAUUCUCGGAAGUGGACGACGAGUGGGAGCAGGACUCCGCACCCCGCGCUUGCAAGGCGCCCCGGCGCCGUGCAAGGCGCCGAACAACAACAACACAACAGGAGAACACGGCGGCUGCAGACAAUCGUCGUCGUAGGACUCGCAGACGGCAGAACUUCCCCAUGCCCUAGACGGCAACCACGUCCUCCUGUAGCGCCAGCAGACGUAGGUGGCGAACAGCUGCACUUGCAGCGCAGCUGACUGCAGCUCAGACAGCGUGCUCCAUCUGCCAUGGUACAGCGCCCUCACCGGUGA